GACCUUGUUGCUAAGUUGGCUAAAGUGGUGGCUUACUAAAGCCUUCCCCUUGUUGGCGUGGGUUCAAAUCACACCAAGGCCA
rnacentral:tRNA from 1 species